AUUGAACGCUGGCGGCAUGCUUUACACAUGCAAGUCGAACGGUAACAGGCCUUCGGGUGCUGACGAGUGGCGAACGGGUGAGUAAUGCAUCGGAACGUACCCAGAGGUGGGGGAUAACGCAGCGAAAGCUGUGCUAAUACCGCAUGUGAUCUGAGGAUGAAAGCGGGGGACCGAGCAGCAAUGUUUGGCCUCGCGCCUUUGGAGCGGCCGAUGUCGGAUUAGCUAGUUGGUGGGGUAAAGGCCUACCAAGGCGACGAUCCGUAGCUGGUCUGAGAGGACGACCAGCCACACUGGGACUGAGACACGGCCCAGACUCCUACGGGAGGCAGCAAUGGGGAAUUUUGGACAAUGGGCGCAAGCCUGAUCCAGCAAUGCCGCGUGCGGGAAGAAGGCUUUCGGGUUGUAAACCGCUUUUGGCAGGAACGAAACGGUGUCCGCUAAUACCGGGCGCUAAUGACGGUACCUGCAGAAUAAGCACCGGCUAACUACGUG
rnacentral:rRNA from 1 species